AUUGAACGCUGGCGGCAGGCCUAACACAUGCAAGUCGAGCGGAUGAAGGGAGCUUGCUCCUGGAUUCAGCGGCGGACGGGUGACUAAUGCCUAGGAAUCUGCCUGGUAGUGGGGGAUAACGUCCGGAAACGGGCGCUAAUACCGCAUACGUCCUGAGGUAGAAAUGGGGGGAGCUUCGGACCUCGCGCUAUGAGAUGAUCCUAGGUCGGAUUAGCUAGUUGGUGGGGUAAAGGCCUACCAAGGCGACGAUCCGUAACUGGUCUGAGAGGAUGAUCAGUCACACUGGAACUGAGACACGGUCCAGACUCCUACGGGAGGCAGCAGUGGGGAAUAUUGGACAAUGGGCGAAAGCCUGAUCCAGCCAUGCCGCGUGUGUGAAGAAGGUCUUCGGAUUGUAAAGCACUUUAAGUUGGGAGGAAGGGCAGUAAGUUAAUACCUUGCUGUUUUGACGUUACCAACAGAAUAAGCACCGGCUAACUUCGUG
rnacentral:rRNA from 1 species